rnacentral:rRNA from 1 species
CGAACGUAAGAUGACUGUAGGUGAAAGCUUACAUCUCUUCGGAGCAGUUUUACGAGGUGCUGCAUGGUUGUCGUCAGCUCGUGCCGUGAGGUGUCGGGUUAAGUCCCAUAACGAGCGCAACCCUUGUCCUUAGUUACCAGCACGGUUAUGGUGGGCACUCUAAGGAGACUGCCGGUGACAAACCGGAGGAAGGUGGGGAUGACGUCAAGUCAUCAUGGCCCUUACGGCCUGGGCUACACACGUGCUACAAUGGUCGGUACAAAGGGUUGCCAAGCCGCGAGGUGGAGCUAAUCCCAUAAAACCGAUCGUAGUCCGGAUCGCAGUCUGCAACUCGACUGCGUGAAGUCGGAAUCGCUAGUAAUCGUGAAUCAGAAUGUCACGGUGAAUACGUUCCCGGGCCUU